rnacentral:misc_RNA from 1 species
UACGGAGGUGGCAAGCGUUAAUCGGAAUUACUGGGCGUAAAGCGCGCGUAGGUGGCCUGAUAAGCCGGUUGUGAAAGCCCCGGGCUCAACCUGGGAAUGCCAUCCGGAACUGUCAAGCUAGAGUGCAGGAGAGGAAGGUAGAAUUCCAGGUGUAGCGGUGAAAUGCGUAGAGAUCGGGAGGAAUACCAGUGGCGAAGGCGGCCUUCUGGACUGACACUGACACUGAGGUGCGAAAGCGUGGGUAGCAAACAGG